rnacentral:rRNA from 1 species
UACAGAGGGGGCGAGCGUUGUUCGGAAUUACUGGGCGUAAAGGGCGCGUAGGCGGCCAACUAAGUCAGACGUGAAAUCCCUCGGCUCAACCGGGGAACUGCGUCUGAUACUGGAUGGCUUGAAUUCGGGAGAGGGAUGCGGAAUUCCAGGUGUAGCGGUGAAAUGCGUAGAUAUCUGGAGGAACACCGAAGGCGAAGGCAGUGUCCUGGGGAGUACCUGACGCUCAGGUGCGAAAGCCAGGGGAGCGAACGGG